rnacentral:rRNA from 1 species
CUUUAUGGAUUAAAGUUACUUUAGGGAAAACAGGCUAAAAGAUAGCAAUAGUCCAAAUAUAACUGUUAAUUAUGGUACCUCGAUGUCGGCUUUAUUUAUCCUUCUUCUGUAGUUUAAGAAAGGGUCUGUUUGUUCACUAAUUGAAAAGUUACAUGAGCUGGGUUUAAAUCGUUAAAGACA